AUGGCCGCCUCCAUGGAAGGCGAGGGUGACAUUGGAGAUGAUUAUUAUGCCAUGCUUAACGUCGAUAGACAGUGCUCAAACACUGAUAUUGAUGCUGCUUAUCGACGCUUGACCAAGAUUUACCAUCCAGACAGACAUGUGGACCCAGUCAAAAAGAAAAAUGCUGAAAACCUAUUUAGCAAACUUAAGAAAGCUCAUGAUGUUCUAUCAGACCCUAACAAGAGACAGAUAUAUGACCGCUUUGGUUUUAAAGGCCUCCAGGUGGAAGGACUUGAGCUGAUGACUCGGACAAGGUCUCCUGCUGAAAUCAUUGCUGAGCUGAAUCGCUACCAACAGGAACAGGAAGAAAGGAAAUUACAACAGAGAACAAACCCCAGGGGAGUGGUGACGAUGGGAAUUAAUGCAACAGAUGUUUUCGACAAAGACUCUGACAUGGACGAGGAAUUUAAUAGUUAUAGAUCCAGUAUUCCUAGUCUAGAAAUCAGUCAUAUGAGUUUAAACCAGUCGGUGCAGGUUCCACUCACCAAGAAGGACACUGCUGUUAUUGCUGGUACAUUAGCCACUCGUAAUGGGAACGGACAGGGCACGUUCACAGCCGUCUGGAGAAGACUGACCUCUGACAAUGGAUGGGCGGAGUUAGAGAUGUCAUGUGGUGACAACAUUGGGACGACUCUACGUGGAUUUAGGAAAAUCAAUCGUCGAUGCUAUUGUACUACAAGUGCCAAUAUAUCCUACCUGUCCAGUGGAAACAGAAGAGCAAUAGCUUUCACAGGUUUUCAGACAAUGGUAGCAUGCCAGCUGGACACCCAUCUCCAAGGUCGAAUUGUAUGGAAUGUCGGAAGACCAUCAGCCAUGAGGACAAUUGUGGUGUAUGAUAAGGAGACAUAUGCUGUAAUAUUUACUGCACAGCUUGGCAUUCCCAGCAGUUUUCUUCAAAGUGUCUUUGUCAAAAAGUUCCCCGACAAGGAUGCUAAAGUCCGUCUUUCAGCUAAAAUUAGCCCUAUUGGUGCAGUAGUGGAAUAUGGCUGUGAGAAGAAAGUGUCACAGUUCAGUACUCUUGGUGCGACUAUGUCUAUAGGAACAACUGUUGGUGUUUCUCUAAAGAUCAAGUUGAUCCGAGGCCAACAAGAAUUUUACUUCCCUGUACAUCUUUCGGAGAACAUUGUCCCUGAGGCUGUAGUAUAUGGUACCUUCCUUCCAUUAGCUGCCUACUUUGUGGUGAAGAAACUAAUUGUGGAUCCGUACUUAAAACGUCAGGAAGAAGAGUCACAGGAAAAAAAGAAGGAAGAGGCAGCGGAGAAAAUGGCAGCUAAGAGAAAAGAAGCGGCAGCAACAGUUGAGUUGAUGAAAGAGGCCGUUGAACGUAGCAUUGAAUCAGAGGAAAGAAAACGUGGUCUAGUGAUUUUAAAGGCACUCUAUGGGAAGCUUAUAUCUGAUGAUGAUGGAGAACUAUUGGAGGGCCAGUGUAUAGACGUCCUCACCCCAGUACAAGCAUUAGUGAGGGACUCUCAACUUUUACUGUCUGACACCAAAACAAAGGUAAGGUCUAAAAACACACAGUAAGGUACUCACCCUAGUACAAGCAUUAGUGAGGGACUCUCAACUUUUACUGUCUGACACCAAAACAAAGUGUGAUAUACCAGGUUUCUAUGAUCCCUGCCCCGGUGAGAAGAAAACUCUCUAUAUACGGUAUAAAUUUAGAAAUAAGCUGCACCAGGUUACCUUAGCAGAUAAUGAUGCUAUUCGACUACCAUUACAAAAACAUCUUUCAAACGUAGAAGAAACAUGAAGACAGAUUUGCCAUCAACAUUGAUGUCUGUAAUAUGUACUGAAUAUAGCAUCACAUUCAGUCACCGCUGGUAACAAAAUUCAGGGGAGAUAACUCGGACUAAGUUCAGGGAUUUAGUGUGAAUGUUAUUGAAGUAAGAGUCAGUAUCAGAGUUGUGAUGACAAGUCACAACAGCAUAUCUGCUCUCAAAACUAGGAUUUUGUGACCAGGUCUCUUAAAUGUUUUACUUUCUAGUUUCAUAAUUAAGUUUCAGUGUGCCAAAAUCUGCCUGGCCCUGUUGAUGAUAUGUUUAACUACAAGACAUUCAAAAGAGAUGUUAUUUGUUUUUAUUGUUAUAAACAUUUCUUGUAAUUUUCAGAUUAUCUUGAUUACCAAUUUUGCUACUCAUUAGCAGAUUUUAUAAUUCCACUGAUAAUCAAACAAUUACUAUACCUUUUGACUUCAUUGAGAUAUAACCAAGGUUUGGGUCUAACCUGCCAAACUCCUAUUUGACUGGCAUGAUGCACCCAUGCAGGUACAGUCAAAACUGUCUACAGAGGCCAUUCAAAAGAGCAGAGAAAAGUGGCCUAUAUACACAGGUUACCUUGAUAUAGAGGUUCAAUUACUAUGACUUGCAUUACAUAGGGAACCCAAAAAAAAGUGCCCUUUAUCGACAGGUGGCCUUAGUAUAAAGGUGACUUUUAAGACAAGUUUGACAGUACAUCUUAACCUUCGAGAACUUGUAAUUAUGUGACUUCGGUGAACAGAAAUAAAUCUGUAUUUGAUCCUUGACAUUUUAGGACCAAAGUAAGACCACACGAACUUCUAGAAAUCAGAAGUAUUUUCUGUAAUAUUAAAAUCACUUUACACAUGAUAAAAAGUUAUUUUAUGGAGUUUUUAGGGUCUUCAGAUGGUUUGGAAACUUUUUUCCUCUGAGGAAUUUAAGCAGUACAGCUUCAUUUCUGAAUACUUGGUAUUGAUAUAUAUAUAUAUAUAUGUGUGGUAUUUGUCACUCAAUGAUAAAUAUUUUAAUAUGAUGUAGCAAUGUUCUGGAAUUCUAUUUUCAUUCCAAAAUUCACAUACCAUAUUUUCUGUCAAAAGCCCAUGUCUAACAAUAAGGCCACCCACAUAUGAAUUGCUGUUUAGUUAAAUAAGUUUCAAAUGUUACUUCAUUUUCCUGCAAUAAGCCCACCUUCAGCCAUUGAGUCAGAAUUAGUGUUUUCAGCCCCUGGGCUUAUUACAAGAAAAAUAUUGCAAUGGUGUUAAAUAAAAUAGUUUUUUAUAUAAAAAAAUAUAACAGAAAGAAAUCACUGCGAAUAAAACACAUUUAGUUACAAAUUAAUAGAAAUUUAAUUGAAAUGGCUUUUGAUUACCCUAGACUGGUACUUGAUAUAAACUACGAAAUUUGAGUUGUCAAGGGUACAAUUUUUACUGAAUGUUUAAGUGUUCAUUAAACUCAACGAACAGGAAAUUCCAAUGUCCACAAAAUUGGUAUAUUAAUUGUACAUUAAUUUUAUACAACCUAGUGGAACUACGUCUUUGGUCAAAUCACAAAAUCAAUUACCAUUUGUAGCAAAAAAAAAAAGAUUUUUCUGAAAUUUGAUUUUGAAAGUUUAAUAUUUUACAUGAAAUUGUUUUUUGGUUUGAAAGAGUGAAUGUAUUGUAAAAAGUUGAUUUAGAGAGAAAAUGUGUUAGUUUGAUAAUAUAUAGAUAAAUGCUCUUGAGUUAGUUAUGUCGCAUCAGUCAGCUGUAGAGUUAGUGAUGAAUGUCAGCACCUGCGACAAUCCAGUGAAUCAAGAAAAUUAUGUUUUUCUGCUAACAAUCAAUUUCGGCCUCUCAUGAUGCCUUUUUUUGAUGCACUAUGACUUCAUAGUUCAAAGUAAAAUAGUUGUGGAGUUUAGUUUGUGACAAGAUGUGUUAUAAUGGCCAGCUCUAUAUGAUAAACAGGGAUUACACAACAAGUGGUUGUUCUGUAUGGUGUUCCUUUCACUUGAGUUUUUCAGGAGUUGCAAAGGAAAAGAAAACUAGUGUCCCACCCUCAUAAUGACCCUGGUACUUUGGACAUUUCAGCCAAUUUAAAAAGUCAAAAUAAUUCCCAAAUCUCUCAAUACAGACCAAAACAAGUGAUUCAGUCUGCAAUUCACAAUUCUUAUGUUUAAGUACCUUGACCAAAAAAUAUUUAACCUCAAAAACCAGGUUUGAAAAAAAUUUGUUUACAGAAAUGUUUCUUUAACAUUAGAAUUGUUCACAAUAGCCUGGACCUAGACAAAAAAUGUCAGUGAUGAUUAUUGUACGUUAAAGAAUAUGAAGUUCGUAUGAUUGUAUGUUACCAGUAUUUCUAUGUGAUGUACAAGAGGUAGGGAGCAUUGAUGUAUUUUCCAAAACUCAACAUUUAUUUAUACAUCUGCCCAAAUUUUUAACAGAUUUUAUUUCUGACUGACCCAAAUGAAAAGGUCAGUAAAUAUGCCAGCAUAACUACAUUCUUCUGUUUCUAUGAAACAUUAGUCAGUGUUCAGUAAACAAGAGGAAACACUUUGGUACAAUGUUGCCUUGCCUCUUUGGUUGUAUAAAAAACAGUUGAAACAUCAAAUAUUUACAACCAAUCAAAGUGUUAAGGUGUAAGCAUGACUGUCAAUGAACACGAAUGUUAUGUACAUUAAAUUAUUAUGCAAUUUUCGUGUGAGUUUAUAUCAUUGAUUGAGUUAUUCUUUCUAAGAAUAAAACAUAUUUUAUGGAA